UCCUACGGGAGGCAGCAGUAGGGAAUCUUCCACAAUGGACGAAAGUCUGAUGGAGCAACGCCGCGUGAGUGAUGAAGGUUUUCGGAUCGUAAAACUCUGUUGUAAGGGAAGAACACGUACGAGAGGAAAUGCUCGUACCUUGACGGUACCUUACGAGAAAGCCACGGCUAACUACGUGCCAGCAGCCGCGGUAAUACGUAGGUGGCAAGCGUUGUCCGGAAUUAUUGGGCGUAAAGCGCGCGCAGGCGGCCUUUUAAGUCUGAUGUGAAAGCCCCCGGCUCAACCGGGGAGGGCCAUUGGAAACUGGAAGGCUUGAGUACAGAAGAGAAGAGUGGAAUUCCACGUGUAGCGGUGAAAUGCGUAGAGAUGUGGAGGAACACCAGUGGCGAAGGCGACUCUUUGGUCUGUAACUGACGCUGAGGCGCGAAAGCGUGGGGAGCAAACAGGAUUAGAUACCCUGGUAGUCCACGCCGUAAACGAUGAGUGCUAGGUGUUGGGGGGUUUCCGCCCCUCAGUGCUGAAGCUAACGCAUUAAGCACUCCGCCUGGGGAGUACGGCCGCAAGGUUAAAACUCAAAUGAAUUGACGGGGGCCCGCACAAGCGGUGGAGCAUGUGGUUUAAUUCGAUGCAACGCGAAGAACCUUACCUACUCUUGACAUCC
rnacentral:rRNA from 1 species